ACCCAGCAGUGACCCUGGAGGAACAAAGAUAGGCUGACCCAAGCUGAGCCUGCCUGCUGCCCACCAUUUUUCUACACUGAGGCCUCAUUGCCAAGACAACAGACCCUUCAGUUCAUCUGUAAACUGCACUAAGAGGGAAGAAGAAGGUGGUGCAGUGGUGACACCUGACAAACACUACCUCAGCCUGGUGGUAAAGACUGGGAUUAUUACGGAGUUUGCAGAAGACAGCUGAUGUUGACCUUGACCAUGCGUGCUCCCAAGAGCCUCCACAGCCCAGAUAUAACACCACACUUUGCCCUUUGAU